AUUGUAUACGCAUGUCUGUAAGUAUAUUUGAAGUAUUUCAAUUCUGCUUUGGAAAUCCACCACCUUUGGGCGCAACUUCCAUAGAAACGUUAGUAUGUUUGAGUUGGAGCGUACAAGACCAUGAAAUGUGGAUGAUGUUGACGUGUUUCCGACUGUUUAACACAUUCCAAAACCCUUCAACACACCCUCAUGCCCCCAAAACGUGCACACACAUACCAGUGGGAAACUGAAGAAAAAAAGCUUACGAAUCUAGAACUGAGGAAAUAUAUAUUUUUAUCGAUUUUGAUUACGAAUUUCAAAACGAAUAAUGGCCCGAAAAAUACGACCAUGCAACCGACACAGUCGCACCACACACAUACCAAAUAACAAUCAAGAAGUCGCUCAAUAAUAGAACUGAACUGAACUCUUUCUUGAGAUAGUGUUUUCGUAAAUAUGAUACGGUUAAUGAAUAAGUAAUAUACAUUCAAAAGAAAUUAAGUGUAAGCGCACACAGCUGCUUCUUUUUUUGCCGAUGCGUAAUCGCAAUCGCACAAAAUUCAAAGAAAUGGCGCACAAGAAAUACGAAAUUAUGAGAACCAGCACAAAAGAAUAUCCCAAAUUAUGUACGAGAAGAAGAGCUUAUUCCUGUCGGUGCCAGCGAGGGGGAAGGAGGGAUAAUGGCAGGGGCAAUAUUCGAAAAAAAUCCCAAAAGUUUUUGCGUCAUUUUCCAGCUUUUGGCAUUUCUUGCGAAUAUAACGCGCGGCUUGAGAUUGAUUUGCAAAUGGUACAGUGGUCACGGGGUCAUGGAAAACAAAACGGGUUGUCAGACCUAUUGGACUGUGGGUCCUGUUGGGCACAUCUGGUUUGAAACCACGACUGUAUUGGAUUUAUUCGAUGCGGGGCAGCAUUCACUCACAACUUAUACUGGACCCAGAGCGGAGAGACACUUGCAGAGUACGGGAGCGGGCACUGCACAGGUAGAUAUGUCACUCUACGAACGGAAAUUCGUCACCUUGCAUCGACAUACCUUGAACCAGCGCAGAAACGAGAACAAGCUGCGCUCACGAACACGAAAAAACACACACACACACACACACGAAGACACGGUCGCGAGCGAGCACAAAUUUACGCUUAUUAUGUGUGUGCUGAGAAGUUUUUCAAGAAAAAGAACAACUGAAUUAAAUUUCCCAAUUACAUCCAUAUUGAAAUUGAAUAAAAGCCAAUUGACAACUGACAUGGCAGCCCCUUCAGUGUGCUCCAGAGCAUUUGCUCGCCUCUAAAACUGACUUUCGUGAUUUUUAAUAGUUUUAAAACAAUUUUCAAGAUUCAACUAUUAUUCAGCAAAUGACUAGCCAGGCACACACACACUUGCACUUACUUACCAGCGCGAGAG